rnacentral:lncRNA from 1 species
GGGUCCUUAACUUUAGUCCGGUCACUUAAUGUUCACUAUCUGCCUUAGCCUUUCGGCUCUCUUAUUCCAGUAAGACUAGCGCCCAGAGAGCAAAGCUCGACCAGGGACCUUACCUCCAGUCUGGUCACUUAGAUUUCUAAAUAAGCCGGCGCCUAGAGAGCAAUGCUCGACCAUGGACCUUUACUCCGGCAACCACACUCUACUAAGCCCAGAGAGUGAUGCUCA